rnacentral:rRNA from 1 species
AGAUGGCGACCGGCGCACGGGUGAGUAACACGUAUCCAACCUGCCGAUAACUCGGGGAUAGCCUUUCGAAAGAAAGAUUAAUACCCGAUGGCAUAGUAGAACCGCAUGGUUUGAUUAUUAAAGAAUUUCGGUUAUCGAUGGGGAUGCGUUCCAUUAGGCAGUUGGUGGGGUAACGGCCCACCAAACCUUCGAUGGAUAGGGGUUCUGAGAGGAAGGUCCCCCACAUUGGAACUGAGACACGGUCCAA